rnacentral:rRNA from 1 species
GAUGAACGCUAGCGGCAGGCUUAAUACAUGCAAGUCGAGGGGUAGCAAGAUUGUAGCAAUACAAUUGUUGACGACCGGCAAACGGGUGCGGAACACGUACACAACCUUCCUACAAGUGGGGAAUAGCCCAGAGAAAUUUGGAUUAAUACCCCGUAACAUAGCGAUGUGGCAUCACAUUGCUAUUAUAGCUUCGGCGCUUGUUGAUGGGUGUGCGGCUGAUUAGAUAGUUGGGGGGGUAACGGCCCACCAAGUCUACGAUCAGUAGCUGAUGUGGUAACAUGGUACGCAACACGGGCAAUGAGCCACGGGCCCGACUCCUACGGGAGGCAGCAGUAAGGAAUAUUGGACAAUGGACGCAAGUCUGAUCCAGCCAUGCCGCGUGAAGGAUUAAGGUCCUCUGGAUUGUAAUCUUCUUUUAUAAGGGACGAAAAAAGGUCUUUCUAGAUCGUCUGACGGUACCUUAUGAAUAAGCACCGGCUAACUCCGUGCCAGCCGCCGCCGUAACAC